AAUGGAGGGGAGGUCGACGCCUUGGAGAUGGAAACGAUUUAAACAUACUUGUAGCAAAUCCUUCAUGGUGGAGCAGGAAUAGGAAGCGUUUGACUUACUUUGGCCAGUGCAUAUGAGCAAACAUGAUGUUCAGCAAGUCUCAGCAGAUGCUUGAAGAGUCAUUGUCUGUUUCUACCAACUCUCUUGCUCUUUUCUGUUGCCAAAAGAGAAAGGACAAAAGAAACUGCCUAUUCAGCUAUACCCUGAGCUUCUCUGGACAAAGGCUGAGUCUUACCUACUUUUCUAUCCCCAUUGUUUGGCUGAAGGCUUGUUCCACAGUGUGAGGAAAGUUCAAGAGGGGAAAAAAUAAAAGACUAGUGACAUAAUUUAAGAAAAGGAUGAUUGCAAUGCAUCCUGAAGCUGCCUAUCUCCAAAUAUUCUCUCCUAUAGGCAGGGCCAACAGGAAAAGAGUUCUCCUGCUGCACUUUUGGAUUUUCCUCUUGAGCAAUGCUUAUGCAACUACAGCCGAGAAUUACUGCCAUGAAGCCAGUCAUCAAUGUUAUGGAAGCUUCCCUCAACAUUUGAGGAGUAGUACUUCCCCUGCAUUAUAAACUUACACAAUAAAAACUUACAAAAGUAAGUUAAGAAA
rnacentral:lncRNA from 1 species